rnacentral:misc_RNA from 1 species
GUCAUGUAUGAUCUAACUCACUACUACUUGCAUCAUGGACAACCAACAAGUGAAGCGCCAAGAAAUAUCAAAAAAUAUCAUUUGAAUCAUCAUUUACACAUCCAGACCAAAGGUUUUGGUAUCACUCCUCUUUCUGGGACGUCGUGUUUGGAACGCUACCAUAAUCUAAAUCAGCCAAGAACAAAUAAUUCCUUUCAGACAGGAGAAUGAGAUUUGAAAGCCAUUUUUCAUCUGCUGUUAUAAAUUUUCUACAUAUUUAUUGGCAAAGUUGGAAUCUCAUCUAAGGGUUACAUAACUUACUUGCAAAAGCAUUGUGUGCAUCAGUCCAUCUAGGUUGUAUUU